CUUUCCUGAGGACAGGAUGAGCCGCCACGCGACACAGGAAGACCUCGUGCAUGGCGACAGUCUUCUUAAAGAUGGCCAGGUACUCUCUGAAAACACAAAGUGUGAUCAUCAGGUAGGCAGGCAGGUAGGUAGGUAGGUAGGUAGCCAGGUUGGUAGGCAGGCAGGCAGGUAGGUAGGGAAGGACUCACGCCUCCAGCUCUUGCUUCAUCUUAGUGAACUCCUCCUUCGUCAUGGAUCCUUCUCCUUCUCCCAGUUUCUGCAGUUUCUCUCUGGACGCAUCAAAGUCUGGUCUGGGAGGCGCGG